rnacentral:lncRNA from 1 species
UUUCCUCCAGCCAUGAUUAUCAGAUGAAUACUUUGUUCGUUUGUUAGAUAAUUAAUUGAUAAUCCUGGAUAAUCUUCGAAGAAUCGUGUUCGUUCACUUUCCGAACAAAGUAUUUCGACCCUAUUUAUGCCUGGGUUCACGAAAUCUUUGUGGGGAUAAUUCUUGAAGAAAGAAUGUUUCUGGCAAAAGAAAGAUUCUGG